UGGUAGUGUAUUGGACAACCAUGGCAAUAACGGGUAACGGAGAAUUGGGGUUCGAUUCCGGAGAGGGAGCCUGAGAAACGGCUACCAUUUCUAAGGAAGGCAGCAGGCGCGUAAAUUACCCAAUCCUAAAUCAGGGAGGUAGUUAAUAGAAAUAAUAGGUUCGGCUCUUCGAGCUCUGAACAUAUAAUGAAUUAAAUUUAAAACAAUUUACGAAUCCUAUUGGAGGGCAAGUCUGGUGCCAGCAGCCGCGGUAAUUCCAGCUCCAAUAGCGUAUAUUAAUGUUGUUGCAGUUAAAAAGCUCGUAGUUGAAAGUCCGGCGCUUGUGCGUCUGUCUGGGAGGGCGGGCGAUACUGUAAAAGGUUUUGCCCGUAUGAACAGACUUUUACUGUGAACAAAUUAAAGUGCUUAAAGCAGGCUUUUGCUUGAAUAGUCUAGCAUGGAAUAAUAAAAUACGACUUUAUUCAUUUUAUUGGUUAUUGGAUAAAGUAAUGAUUAACAGAAACAGUUGGGGGCAUUCGUAUUUGAUAGUCAGAGGUGAAAUUCUUAGAUUUAUCAAAGACGAUCUAAAGCGAAAGCAUUUGCCAAGGAUGUUUUCACUAAUCAAGAACGAAAGUUAGGGGAUCAAAGACAAUCAGA
rnacentral:rRNA from 1 species